CUAAGAUGGUGGGUGGCCCGCCGUGACUGGUCUCUGAAUGUGGUUAGCACUCAAGGUCUCUGUGGCAGUUGGCCUGCUCCAGAAAGAUGGCUUCAUGGGAAAAGAGGUGCAGAAUACAAUGUCAAUUGGAAGUGAAGUCGACAGAUAAGAAAGUCAAUUUCAUUACAUCAUGUAGCGCUUGUUUGCCACAGUCACAGUCUGAACUUCAAUGUCAGAUAAUCCGAAUCCAAGUACUGACCUUGGAAAAGAGCAUUAACCUAUCUGCAUUUGCCUUAAAAGUGAGUAUUACAUUUGAAUAGCAUGCUUGUGUACUAAAUAGAAAUGUCUUCUCUAAGUCUGUUGCCCUGAGGCCAUCUUUUAGAUGUCUUUUGAAGCAUCUGGUAGUGGACAGGAGCUCACUGUAAGUUCUGUGCUCCAGUCUCUGCUGAUAACUCAGUAGAGUGUUCCAGAAAACCCUUGACAAAGAAAGGUAAUUGUUGUUAGCCAGACUGACUUAUUCUUUUAGAAAGUGGGGAGUGGUGGG
rnacentral:lncRNA from 1 species